UCUGUCUUGUCCCUGUUGGCUAAUCUAAUUUAUAUCUAACGCAACAUCUCACUAACACAGGUUCCCAGGUUUUUUCGGUUGCACAAAACAGGUAGUAGAUUGUAAUAUUCAGGUUUGCCUUAGAAAAGGCGUGUAACUUAGGAUUUGCUGGACAGUUGAAGCCUAUGCUGGCAAGUCAAAGUGUGUUUGUUUUUGUAACGUGUAAUCAAUGUAAUUAUGAAAGAGAGACAUAGUUUUGAUGUUUCUGAACAUUGUGGGAUCAAACCACAUUCUUCUG
rnacentral:lncRNA from 1 species